rnacentral:rRNA from 1 species
UACGAAGGGGGCUAGCGUUGCUCGGAAUUACUGGGCGUAAAGGGAGCGUAGGCGGACAUUUAAGUCAGCGGUGAAAUCCCGGAGCUUAACUUCGGAACUGCCUUUGAUACUGGAUGUCUUGAGUGUGAGAGAGGUAUGUGGAACUCCGAGUGUAGAGGUGAAAUUCGUAGAUAUUCGGAAGAACACCAGUGGCGAAGGCGACAUACUGGCUCAUUACUGACGCUGAGGCUCGAAAGCGUGGGGAGCAAACAGG